UGUAUGGUUAAGUGACUAAGCGUACACGGUGGAUGCCUGGGCAGUCAGAGGCGAUGAAGGACGUACUAACUUGCGAUAAGCGCAGAUAAGGCAGUAAGAGCCGUUUGAGUCUGCGAUUUCCGAAUGGGGAAACCCAACUGCAUAAGCAGUUACUGUUAACUGAAUACAUAGGUUAACAGAGCAAACCGGGGGAACUGAAACAUCUAAGUACCCCGAGGAGAAGAAAUCAACCGAGAUUCCGGUAGUAGCGGCGAGCGAACCUGGAUUAGCCCUUAAGCACUCGGUGAAGUAGGUGAACAAGCUGGAAAGCUUGGCGAUACAGGGUGAUAGCCCCGUAACCGACGCUUCAUCGAGCGUGAAAUCGAGUAGGGCGGGACACGUGAUAUCCUGU
rnacentral:rRNA from 1 species